rnacentral:rRNA from 1 species
CCUACGGGUGGCAGCAGUAGGGAAUAUUGCUCAAUGGGGGCAACCCUGAAGCAGCAACGCCGCGUGGAGGAUGAAGGUUUUAGGAUUGUACACUCUUUUUGUUAGAGAAGUUAAUGACGGUAUCUCACGAUUAAGCACCGGCUAACUCCGUGCCAGCUGCCGUGGUAAUACGGAGGGUGCAAGCGUUACUCGGAAUCACUGGGCGUAAAGCGGGCGCAGACGGGCUUGUAAGUCAGAUGUGAAAUCCUGUGGCUUAACUACAGAACUGCAUUUGAGACGUUGAGUCUAGAGUGUGGGAGAGGUAGGUGGAAGUCGUGGUGUAGGGGUAAAAUCCGUAGAUAUCAAGAGGAAUACUCAUUGCGAAGGCGACCUACUGGAACAUUACUGACGCGCAUGCACGAAAGCGUGGGGAGCAAACAGGAUUAGAUACCCCAGUAGUC